UACGUAGGGGGCAAGCGUUGUUCGGAAUUACUGGGCGUAAAGCGCGUGUAGGCGGUCUGGCAAGUCAGAUGUGAAAGCCCCGGGCUCAACUUGGGAACUGCAUUUGAUACUGCCAAGCUAGAGUACAGAAGAGGUGACUGGAAUUCCCAGUGUAGCGGUGAAAUGCGUAGAUAUUGGGAGGAACACCAGAUGCGAAGGCGGGUCACUGGGCUGAUACUGACGCUAAAGCGCGAAAGCCAGGGGAGCGAAACGGG
rnacentral:rRNA from 1 species